CAAGCAAGCAAAAUGUAUUCAUUUUAAUUACAGUCUGAAGAACGCGGAACCCCUUCCCGUCGCAGUAAAUCGGAAGGACCACCAGCGGUUGCCAACGGACGGCUACCGACCGGAACCGGCACCGGCGGCAUCUCGAACGGAGUAGCACACGAGCCGGUCUCGGUCGAAGGCAGAGCGCAGGAACAGCCGGGUGAGUCUAGUGGCCUAUUCAAAAAAACUAUUAGCAAAUUGAGCACAGAGUACCGCCUGCAGUUCGUGUGGCCCCACGUGCGCAGGGCUAUCAAGGGGGCCACCGGUGAGGAUUCGGUGAUCGAGCCACCGCGCAAGUCCCUCUCGAUGGGUGCACUGAAGGCUGCGCAGGCCGCUGUCGCUGCCGGUGUCACCAGCAGUCACCAGCAGCACCACCACCAAUACCACCACUACCAUCAGGCGGUUCCCACCGUGCAUAAAAAACGAACCGCAAACGAGCGAGAAGCGAACGCUCACGAACUGGAACCCCUGGUGAACGACGUCGACGGUGAAAAGCCGCAGCAU